rnacentral:lncRNA from 1 species
AACAAUUAUUAAAAAAUAAUACUAUCUUAUAUAGAAGAUAUAUAGAUGAUAUCUUAGUCAUUUCUGAGAAGCCUAACCAUCGUAUAGACUUAGAAGGUAAACUUACAGAUGCUUCACUAGGCCUAAAGUUGAUUAAACAAUGAGGAGGAAAUUGAAUUCUUAGAUAUAAGAACUAUGAUAAUGACAGGAGUAUAAUCUAAGCAUCUAUUGGAAAGAUACUUAUGUACUGCUAUUCACACCGGCAACAUCGCAGGAACCAUGGUCAUGCAAAAUGGCUGCAUUUAGAUCAAUGCUACAAAGGAUAAAUACACAUUGUACAACGUAUCAAAGUCAAAAAGAGGAACUACAAUGGAUUUUAAACCAAGCCACAAACCAUGUAUACAGUAGAAAUACGAUUCUAAACCUAAGGAAUAAAUUAUCCAAAAGAACCAACAGGAAAACUAAAUUCGUAGAUAAGCAUUCAAAGAACUUUAUAAAUCUGGAAAUCAACCCUAUUUCCAUGAGAUACAAAAACAAAAUUGAAAAAUAU